GACAGAGGGUGCAAACGUUGCUCGGAAUUACUGGGCGUAAAGCGCGUGUAGGCGGCUUUGCAAGUCGGGUGUGAAAGCCCUCAGCUCAACUGAGGAAGUGCGCCCGAAACUGCAGAGCUUGAGUGCCGGAGAGGGUGGCGGAAUUCCCCAAGUAGAGGUGAAAUUCGUAGAUAUGGGGAGGAACACCGGUGGCGAAGGCGGCCACCUGGACGGUAACUGACGCUGAGACGCGAAAGCGUGGGGAGCAAACAGG
rnacentral:rRNA from 1 species